rnacentral:rRNA from 1 species
AUUGAACGCUGGCGGAAUGCUUUACACAUGCAAGUCGAACGGCAGCACGGACUUCGGUCUGGUGGCGAGUGGCGAACGGGUGAGUAAUAUAUCGGAACGUGCCCAGUCGUGGGGGAUAACGUAGUGAAAAUUACGCUAAUACCGCAUACGAUCUACGGAUGAAAGCGGGGGAUCGCAAGACCUCGCGCGAUUGGAGCGGCCGAUAUCAGAUUAGGUAGUUGGUGAGGUAAAGGCUCACCAAGCCAACGAUCUGUAGCUGGUCUGAGAGGACGACCAGCCACACUGUAACUGCGACACGGUCCAGACUCCUACGGGAGGCAGCAGUGGGGAAUUUUGGACAAUGGACGCAAGUCUGAUCCAGCCAUUCCGCGUGCAGGACGAAGGCCUUCGGGUUGUAAACUGCUUUUGUACAGAACGAAAAGGUCUCUAUUAAUACUAGGGGCUCAUGACGGUACUGUAAGAAUAAGCACCGGCUAACUACGUGCCAGCCGCCGCCGUAACAC